AUGCAAGUCGAGCGGGCGUAGCAAUACGUCAGCGGCAGACGGGUGAGUAACGCGUGGGAACGUACCUUUUGGUUCGGAACAACACAGGGAAACUUGUGCUAAUACCGGAUAAGCCCUUACGGGGAAAGAUUUAUCGCCGAAAGAUCGGCCCGCGUCUGAUUAGCUAGUUGGUGAGGUAAUGGCUCACCAAGGCGACGAUCAGUAGCUGGUCUGAGAGGAUGAUCAGCCACAUUGGGACUGAGACACGGCCCAAACUCCUACGGGAGGCAGCAGUGGGGAAUAUUGGACAAUGGGGGCAACCCUGAUCCAGCCAUGCCGCGUGAGUGAUGAAGGCCCUAGGGUUGUAAAGCUCUUUUGUGCGGGAAGAUAAUGACGGUACCGCAAGAAUAAGCCCCGGCUAACUUCGUGCCAGCAGCCGCGGUAAUACGAAGGGGGCUAGCGUUGCUCGGAAUCACUGGGCGUAAAGGGUGCGUAGGCGGGUCUUUAAGUCAGGGGUGAAAUCCUGGAGCUCAACUCCAGAACUGCCUUUGAUACUGAGGAUCUUGAGUUCGGGAGAGGUGAGUGGAACUGCGAGUGUAGAGGUGAAAUUCGUAGAUAUUCGCAAGAACACCAGUGGCGAAGGCGGCUCACUGGCCCGAUACUGACGCUGAGGCACGAAAGCGUGGGGAGCAAACAGGAUUAGAUACCCUGGUAGUCCACGCCGUAAAACGAUGAAUGCCAGCCGUUAGUGGGUUUACUCACUAGUGGGCGCAGCUAACGCUUUAAGCAUUCCGCCCGGGGGAAGUACGGUCGCAAGAAUUAAAAACUCAAAGGAAUUUGACGGGGGGCCCCGCACAAGCGGUGGGAAGCAUGGUGGUUUUAAUUUCGAACGCAACGGCGC
rnacentral:rRNA from 1 species